AAGUAUGUGUCUGAAUCGGUCGUAUCUAUCCGUAAUCUAACGUUUGAAAGACUUGUGAAUAAUAGCAGUUGUGGGGCACUUAUGGAUAAUUUCACUUCUCCAAGUCCUCUUUUGUAUUCCAUCUCAAUCGUAUCCUUCAUCACUCUCUACAAAUGCACAAACAAUACCAAUUAUACUGCUCAAACCGAUGCUUAUUUUGGCGGAUCUAAUUACCAUAGAUACAACACAUGCAAAAACCACAAAUUCUACUAUAAGUAUAGUAUAAGUGAUACAACAGUUCCAAGCGAUCUCCCACCUACAUGUCAAGUAAUACGCCUACCCGUCAAAUUAGUGCGAGGGCCAGAAGACAAUAAAGGAAUUAACGAAACCGACAUAUUUUCUUUUCUCUCCCCUCGCUUCUCUAUUUAUUUUCAUUUGUCACCUUCCUGCCAUAAGUGUCACCAGGAAGGCGGCCAGUGUAACACUCUCCGUGAACAUGUUCUGUGUCUAGACGCCAAAAAGGGUACACCAAAUAUAAAUCGUCUAUAAGCAUAUUCGUAAAAUAAAAUUUUCAUGUCUUAUCUUUUGUUGUUUACUUGCAGAAGAAAAAACAGGCAGAAAACUGACACGAAUCCUAAGUAAUAUAUCUCCUUGAUUGAAUGCAACAUCAAUAGAUAUAUAAAUGCAUAAUCACAUAUAUAUAUAUAUAUAUAUAUAUAUAUAUNAUAUAUAUAUAUAUAUAUAUAUAUAUAUACAUGUAGGAAUUUGUACCUGAUGCUAUUUCCUUGUCUUGCUCUAGUUCUUGCUGGAUCUGCCUUCAUCCUCAUGCUGUUUCUUGUCAUCUUCAUAAUCUGGUGUCUGUACAAGCGCAACCCUAUUUCAUAUUGC
rnacentral:lncRNA from 1 species